UAGUGCAGUCAUUGAGCCAUUUCAAAUAAGUGUCUCAGAUCGUGCCUCGAGUAUUGGGAGCGGGCUCCUCAGGUGCUGGAUCCAUAAUCAUAUAUAGGAUCUACUCAUGCUUUAGGAUGAUCUUUAACUUUUGAUACCAGUUAUCAAAAUUGGACACAUCAACUUCUCACUGUCCAACAGUGAUCGGAGUGACAAGUUUGAGGCCAUAUCUGCACACACAAGAAAAAAUCAUAACCUAAUUAGUGUAUGAAUUUGUUAAGCCUAAAGACAUGGAAUUUAGUCU
rnacentral:lncRNA from 1 species